rnacentral:rRNA from 1 species
GUCCUUUUGGUUUUAUUUAAGGUCAGGCCUGCCCAAUGAUUGAUUGAAUGGCCGCAGUAUACUAACUGUGCAAAGGUAGCAUAAUAAUUUGUCCUUUGAUUGAGGACUCGUAUGAAUGGUUAGAUGAGGAAUAUACUUUCUUUGUUUUAAUUUGAAGAACUUUAUCUUUCUGUCAAAAAGCAGAGAUGUACUUAUAAGACGACAAGACCCUAUAGAGCUUUAUUUUGAGUUUAGAUUUUAAUUCUUAGAUACAUAAAUAUUAUUUCUAAAUUGUGGAAUUUUAUUGGGGUGAUAGGUAUAUUUAUUUAACUAUAUUUGACUUUUCUCAUAGAUGAAUGAU